UGUUCAUUUUUAUCAAUGCCUGAGAUUAUAUUUUUAAGUCAUGAAGGAAGGAAGAAGGAAAGAAGGAGAGAGAGAGAAAGGAAGAAAGAAAACCAUGAAGUGAUAUUGGGAAGUGGCUCCUAGGUAAAACAAUCUGCUUGUUGUUAUAGAUAUUCCUCUUAUAGGUGUAAAUGUAGCUGCUCCCUCACACCUUCACUUUACAGUCUUGGAACUCCAUAGCAGAAGGUGAUAAUACCGGGAUUAGAGGAACCUCUAACUGUGUAAAAUGUCCUGAACUUAUUUAUUUUAAUUUUGGUGAAUACAAAUAAAAGAAGAUUUAUUUUAUUCUGAAA
rnacentral:lncRNA from 10 species